AACGAACGCUGGCGGCAUGCCUAACACAUGCAAGUCGAACGAAGGCUUCGGCCUUAGUGGCGCACGGGUGCGUAACGCGUGGGGAUCUGCCCUUUGCUUCGGAAUAACAGUUAGAAAUGACUGCUAAUACCGGAUGAUGUCGUAAGACCAAAGAUUUAUCGGCAAAGGAUGAACCCGCGUUGGAUUAGGUAGUUGGUGGGGUAAUGGCCUACCAAGCCGACGAUCCAUAGCUGGUUUGAGAGGAGGAUCAGCCACACUGGGACUGAGACACGGCCCAGACUCCUACGGGAGGCAGCAGUGGGGAAGCUUAGACAAUGGGCGCAAGCCUGAUCUAGCCAUGCCGCGUGAGCGAUGAAGGCCUUAGGGUUGUAAAGCUCUUCCAGUGGGGAAGAUAAUGACGGUACCCGGAGAAGAAGCCCCGGCUAACUUCGUGCCUGCCGCCAGCGUUCG
rnacentral:rRNA from 1 species